rnacentral:rRNA from 1 species
CCUACGGGCGGCAGCAGUGAGGAAUAUUGGUCAAUGGACGCAAGCCUGAACCAGCCAAGCCGCGUGAAGGAUGACGGCCCUAUGGGUUGUAAACUUCUUUUAUAAGGGAAUAAACUGAGGCACGUGUGCCUGUUUGUAUGUACUUUAUGAAUAAGGAUCGGCUAACUCCGUGCCAGCAGCCGCGGUAAUACGGAGGAUACGAGCGUUAUCCGGAUUUAUUGGGUUUAAAGGGAGCGUAGGUGGGUGGUUAAGUCAGUUGUGAAAGUUUGAGGCUCAACCGGAGAAUUGCAAUUGAUACUGUCAGGCUUGAGUAUAGUUGAGGUAGGCGGAAUGCGUGGUGUAGCGGUGAAAUGCUUAGAUAUCACGAAGAACGCCGAUUGCGAAGGCAGCUUACUAAACUGCCACUGACAUUGAGGCUCGAAAGUGUGGGGAUCAAACAGGAUUAGAUACCCUUGUAGUC